rnacentral:rRNA from 1 species
GUGUCAGCCGCCGCGGUAAUACGUAGGGGGCAAGCGUUGUCCGGAAUUAUUGGGCGUAAAGCGCGCGCAGGCGGCUUUGUAAGUUUGGUGUUUAAUCUCAGAGCUCAACUCUGAUUCGCAUCGAAAACUGCAAGGCUUGAGUACAGAAGAGGAAAGUGGAAUUCCACGUGUAGCGGUGAAAUGCGUAGAGAUGUGGAGGAACACCAGUGGCGAAGGCGACUUUCUGGGCUGUAACUGACGCUGAGGCGCGAAAGCGUGGGGAGCAAACAGGAUUAGAAACCCGGGUAGUCC